rnacentral:rRNA from 1 species
GACGAGCGCUGGCGGCGUGGAUUAGGCAUGCAAGUCGAACGGUAUCAUCCUUUCGGGGGUGAGAGAGUGGCGAACUGGUGAGUAACACGUAGGUUAUCUACCCUCAAGACGGGGACAACCCAGGGAAACUUGGGCUAAUACCGGAUGUGAGCAACUUUUAGUUGUUUGAAAGGUGGCGUAAGCUGUCGCUUGGGGAUGAGCCUGCGUCCUAUUAGUUAGUUGGUGAGGUAACGGCUCACCUAGGCAAUGAUAGGUAGGCGGCCUUAACGGGUGGUCGCCCACACUGGGAUUGAGAUACGGCCCAGACUCCUACGGGAGGCAGCAGUCGAGAAUAGUCUACAAUGGUCGGAAGACUGAUAGUGCGACGCCGCGUGAACGAUGAAUCCCUUCGGGGUGUAAAGUUCUUUUAUAUGUGAGCAGUGCUUCUUAUAUUAACAGUAUGGGGAAGAGAUAUUAGCAUAUGAAUAAGCAACGGCUAAACUCCGUGCCAGCAGCCGACGGUAAAACG